rnacentral:rRNA from 1 species
GUGGGGAAUUUUGGACAAUGGGCGCAAGCCUGAUCCAGCAAUGCCGCGUGCAGGAAGAAGGCCUUCGGGUUGUAAACUGCUUUUGUACGGAACGAAACGGUCCGGGUUAAUACCCUGGGCUAAUGACGGUACCGUAAGAAUAAGCACCGGCUAACUACGUGCCAGCAGCCGCGGUAAUACGUAGGGUGCAAGCGUUAAUCGGAAUUACUGGGCGUAAAGCGUGCGCAGGCGGUUUUGUAAGACAGGCGUGAAAUCCCCGGGCUCAACCUGGGAAUUGCGCUUGUGACUGCAAGGCUGGAGUGCGGCAGAGGGGGAUGGAAUUCCGCGUGUAGCAGUGAAAUGCGUAGAUAUGCGGAGGAACACCGAUGGCGAAGGCAAUCCCCUGGGCCUGCACUGACGCUCAUGCACGAAAGAGUGGGGAGCAAACAGGAUUAGAAACCCUGGUAGUCC